rnacentral:tRNA from 1 species
GGGGGCAUAGCUCAGCUGGUUAGAGCACUGGCUUUGCAAGCCAGGGGUCCGGGGUUCGAAUCCCCGUGCCUCCA